CCUACGGGAGGCAGCAGUGAGGAAUAUUGGUCAAUGGACGAGAGUCUGAACCAGCCAAGUAGCGUGAAGGAUGACUGCCCUAUGGGUUGUAAACUUCUUUUAUAUGGGAAUAAAAUGUUCCACGUGUGGGAUUUUGUAUGUACCAUAUGAAUAAGGAUCGGCUAACUCCGUGCCAGCAGCCGCGGUAAUACGGAGGAUCCGAGCGUUAUCCGGAUUUAUUGGGUUUAAAGGGAGCGUAGGUGGAUUGUUAAGUCAGUUGCGAAAGUUUGCGGCUCAACCGUAAAAUUGCAGUUGAAACUGGCAGUCUUGAGUACAGUAGAGGUGGGCGGAAUUCGUGGUGUAGCGGUGAAAUGCUUAGAUAUCACGAAGAACUCCGAUUGCAAAGGCAGCUCACUGGACUGCAACUGACACUGAGGCUCGAAAGUGUGGGUAUCAAACAGGAUUAGAUACCCCUGUAGUC
rnacentral:rRNA from 1 species